rnacentral:rRNA from 1 species
AUGUGGCCGGAGAGCCCGCUUCUCUGGGACGCCGGCGCUGCCGUGCUCACCGGAUGCGUCGCCAUGGCGGUGCUCCGCUUCUGGGAGGAGGUCGGCAACCGCGCCCUCUUGGACCAAAAACUCUGCAGGAAGCUGGUGCACGUCAGUGUUGGGCUGGUAUAUUUCCUUAUGUGGCCUUUGUUCAGUGCAGAUGAUGUCUAUGCUCCAUUUCUCGCUUCAAUUGUCAUUGCGCUCAAUAUCAUAAAGGUAACCUUGAUUGGAUCUGGUGUAGUUAAAGAUGACGGCGUGGUUAACUCGAUGACAAGAAAUGGAGACUACAGAGAGCUUCUCAAAGGUCCACUCUAUUACGCGUGUACUAUAACACUCACUACCCUAAUCUUUUGGAGGACGUCUCCCAUUUCCAUCGCUGUGAUUUGCAACUUUUUCAUGUGCUACUUCCACCUUUUCGGGUUCGUGGAGCAGAGCUGGACCAUGGUCGCUGCCUUCGGCAUCACGUCGCUUGCAGCGGCAAUUGUCGAGUCACUUCCUGUCAGCACGCUCUUGGACGAUAACCUGACGACUUCGAUCGCCUCUGCGCUCGUUGGCGGCCUGGUUUUCUACUAUGUUGGUGGUGGUGGCGGCGGCGACGGGAGCAGCAUCUUGGCGACUGCUGCGAUGGUCUUUGCAGGCAGUAGCUAG